rnacentral:lncRNA from 1 species
UCCUCUCCUCAUCUCCUCACUUCCCCCCGCUCCUCAUCCCCUAACCCUAGCCCAUUCUCCACGCCGCCGCUGCCGCCUCCCGUCCCCUGGCGCCGCCACCAUGCCCACUCGCCGUCGCGCCGUCGCGCCUUCCCCUCCUCCUCGCCGUCUCGCUGCUCAGCAGGCAGGCCGACCGGGCGUCUCCCCCGCGACCCACAUCCCCACUUGCCACCGCCGCCGGCUCCUCUCCUCUCCCUCCCGCGCCUCGUCUGCCUCCCUCUCCCUCGUCUCCUCUCCCGCACUGCUAGCCCCUUCUCGCUGCUUGCCCCUGCCGUCUCUCUCCUCCCCCGCGCCGCCAACCCCAGAUCUAGAGGAAGACGAGAGAGGCGGGAUCCGCUUCUUCCCCUAGCGCCGUCCCCGGCCUCCUCCCCUGGACACAGCGAGCGUGAGCGGUAGCGCGAGGAGCAAGGCUGGUGACUGGCCACUGCCGUUCCAGGGCAUCCCCGGCGUCGGUGUCGUCGUCCUCGCGUGCACCUGCAUCGCCAUUGACGAGAGGGGCAGGAACCACCAGCCACUCCUCUGGCUGCCAACCCUUCUCCCUCGCCCUCAGCCUCGACGCCGCCGGGAACAGGGAAGUCAUCGGCGACGACGCCGGCAAGGCCGCAGUAAGCACCCUCUCCACUUUACCCCUUUAGUUAUCUUUGGCUUUUGUGCUGGCUAUAGUCGCCGUCAGGAGUACUCCUCUACUUCCCAUAUAUUUCCCUUGCUGAGCCUGCGCCACAUCUCUCUUGCAGCUGCCAACCGACUGCGUGCGCUGCCUACCACGACCAGUAAGUUCUAGAGACAGAAAGAGAGAGAUGGAGUGAGAAGAAGAUACAGUGAGGGAGGAGGGAUGCCAUUGUACUAAUUGUGGAUGACCUACAGGUCCAUCUCUCCUCUCUCUCAGUUUUCAAGCUCAAUUCCCCAUUGUUUUGCAGAGUGGACAUUGCCUGAAAGCCACUUGACAGAAAUCCAGUGUCUUGUGACAUGCUAAUGCCACAAUAUUUAGAUGCAUGUAGCAGAUCUUUUUAUUUUCAUUGAAAUGUUUACCUCUGAUAUUGAGCAUAGUGCAUUAGUUUAUGAAUCAGCAUUGUAGAAUGCAAUCAUUUUGAUGUUGUUCAGAAUGAGAAGGCUUUCGUGAAGCGGCCAAAGAUCUUCCUUUGGUGAGGGAUUUUCAUCUACCUCUUUUUUUGUAUGUAGCCACCGAAUGUUUUAACAAAUCUUAUCUCUGAUUGCAGCUAAAAGAAAGCUGACUAGGUCUUCCUGGCAAGGCAGCUAAUCACAUGACGAGUUUGGAUGAUGAUGAUAGUCGUUUAAUUUUACUGCCUGCUUGGUAUUUGUUUAUGCAUACGAACAACUCUGAUUAUGAUUGCUGCAUUGCAUAAGGUUGCUUCCUUCUGAUGAUAAAUGUCGAAUGACUAUGGUAGUUUUUUUUGGCUUCACUACAUAAGGUUGCCUGUGCCUGGCUCAGACCCAUAUGUGACUCCAAUAUCUUCCUUUCUGCUCCAUAAAAGGUUCUGGUAUGUCUCAAUUCAUUCUCAGGGCAUUCAUGUCUGGUUUGUGAGGUCUGCUAAGUUUAACUCUUGCACUGCAAGAUAGGUUUCCAUCAAUUAUUACUUUUGAAUGACAACAAGUUCAGAAAUUGUUGCUCUGUAGUGAUAGUACUCUUAGAUUAUUUUAGUCUUAUUGGUUUGGAUGCUGGAAAUAUUUGUUUGUGUAAAUAAUGGUGCCUCACAACAUUUGGAUUUUAAAUUCUUAGAUUGUUUGCUAUGAUAAGGAAGUAGUCAUGUAUACAUAUACUAAUGUAGCAGUUUACCUUACUGCUUUCGGGCCAGUCGGGGGAGCUCAUGGCAGGGUCAGCAGCUUCAACUGCACCAAUGCAACUGUAUGUCUCUUUAGAAUAUGUACUCAGCUCAAAAUAAAAAUCUCAAGUGUAUAUGUUCUUGAGACAUGACAUACAUGAACACUCACAUGAUGGCUGCAAUCCCAUUAUUAACCACAUGCUUCUAUUUCUCUCUGAAUUCGUAUUUUAAACAUGGUGAAUUUCUGGGAAUGUGGUUUCAUGUAUAUCUAUGAAUACAUACAUGGUCAAUAAGUUUGCUUGGUAAAACAUAAGAAUUCAGGUUCACAUAAGCACCCACUUUUAUGUUGGCUACAUAUUAGUUACACUAAUGCACUACUCGAGCUUUGCUUUCCUUGUAUGGAAGUUUCAUCCGUUAACUCUGUUUCUUUUUACUCCAUUUUGUUCCUACAGGUCAUAAACCAUCCCCUUCCUGCCAUCAAUACCCUGGGCAUUGUUUGUACAGAAGUACCCAGUGCUACCUUAUUCAUAUUUAAUUGUAGCUCAUCUUUUCCAUGAAUUUGUUAGUAGAAUUUAUGUUCUGUUGCGAAGUGGCAUAUAUAAUUUGAUAUUUCUCCAGGAAAGAUAUCAUGAAGUGUGUUUGUCAUUCUGUAUAUUAACCGAGGGAGGAUCCUGCUGCUAACUGGCCUAAGAAAAUCCCUUGUUAAAAAUAUUAGUAAUGGGAGUUUGUGGCGGGAGGGGUGUUAUUUUAACAUCGUUAGUAGUUCCAUUUUUGGUCUCCUGUGUUUGAAACCAUCUUUACCUGCAGCCCCCUGUUUGGUUUUUUAGAUGGACUUUUCUUACCUAACAAGGCGGUAGGAUAAUUAGAAACAUUCAUUCUCUAAUAUAACACAUAUAUAAAAAGUUUCUAUAUGGUUCAAGCUUGCCCGGAUCUUUAUUUUGGUACAAACCUUCCUGCAUUUCGAGGUUAUGAUAACUGUGAUGCCAUUUAAUCAUGUGAAUACUGCUCUGCCUUGCAUAAUUGCCUCAUAUACUAUUCCUAAUGAGUGAAUGCUUUUUCCAGCCGGUAGAAUUACUAAGUUCUAUUGGUUAAUCUUGGUAUCACCACUAUACCAGUUUUUCAUGUGCAUCACUAUCCUACCAGUUAGUGUAUUGCUUUGAUAUUGAUAAUUCCUUGUGUUUUUAUGCUCACAGCAAUACUCUUGGUCUAAAUUUAACUUUUACCAGGGUUCAGGUGGUAAGCACAUUGACAGGAUCGACGAUCGACAACCCGAUCUAUCUCACUGAUGUUGAAGGUACACAUAUAUACAUUGGGUAGUAAACUCCGCUGCCUCUGAGUUGUAUAGGUAAUUUCAUGCUUUCCAUGACAAUUGGUUUGGUUAUUCAGGUAGAGGCCCAGAGGUUAAGAUUAUGUGCAGUGAACCAUGCCUUUGUGAGAGGACCCAGACAAGAGGUAGCAUAUUCUGUUGUGACAACUUAUAAUUAUCAUCAGAGUUUCUUGGCAAUAUUCGUCAUAAUACAAUAUAUAUGAAUCAUGUCUAAAUUUCACAUUAUAAUCAAUGCACAGGACCGCAUGUCGAGUAUCCGCCCUAAAAGUGUGGAGUGCAUCCGCCGUAAACAGCUACAUUGGUCUCCACCCGGUAAGAUUGAUGGUGUAGUUCUGUGCCUUCCUCUGCUUCUCUUAGUUUAAGGAAAUGCCUAUUUAAGUAUGAAAGGUGAAUUUUAUUUUGAGAGACAUCAAUAAGAAAUAAGAUGUGAUCCUCAACUAUUCUCCGUGCAAUUUAGCAUUAUCUAAAACCUACACUGUCCAUUUCCUGGAAUUAUUCAAGAGAUCUUAGGUUAGUGUCUUAGGCUUUGGCUCAAGGUUCAUGUUGGUAUGUGGUAACAAAUUAGGUGCCAACCUGGGACAUUAGGAAAUUUUCAUUCAUAGACAAGAUCUAUGAGAUUGGUGCCUUUAUUACUGAUUUUGUGCAGUGAUCUGGUUUGGAUUUCCUCUCUUGACUUGCUCUUCUUAUGUAGUUCAAUGUUGCAUCACUCGGUUCGUUUGCUUGCUUCCUUUGCUCGGUUCAGGAGGCAGACAGGGAGAAGGUUAGGGCCAGUUACAAGAACCUCAGGGUCUUGCGUCAUGGCUGUAUCCAUGCAUGUGUUGAAAGCAUUGAGCUUAGUUUAUAUAUGUAGACGCAAUUUCCUUUUCGUGUAUAAGAUAAUUGGUUUAUAUAUAGACUAUCCAUGAUGGAAGUUGAAAUUACUGUGAUAAUUGAUUUAUCUGCUAUUUUUUAUAUUUGCAAUGCUUGCCGGGUUGGAUAUGAUUAUACCCGGUAGCGGUGUGCUGCCAGGUGCGGCAAGCCGCACUUCCUACCUAGUACAUAUGGUUAUACCAAACAUUUUUCGCUAUUUAUGAUUUAUUCAGUCAACGUAAGAUAUUAAUUAGUAUAUGUACCAUUAUGUUUGACACA